rnacentral:rRNA from 1 species
CAAUACCCCCUAUGAUGACGGUACCGUUUGUAAGCUCCGGCUAACUCCGUGCCAGCAGCCGCGGUAAUACGGGGGGAGCAAGCGUUGUUCGGAUUUACUGGGCGUAAAGGGCGCGUAGGCGGCCAGCACAAGUCAGUUGUGAAAUCUCCGAGCUUAACUCGGAAAGGUCAACUGAUACUGUGCGGCUAGAGUGCGGAAGGGGCAACUGGAAUUCUUGGUGUAGCGGUGAAAUGCGUAGAUAUCAAGAGGAACACCUGCGGCGAAGGCGGGUUGCUGGGCCGACACUGACGCUGAGGCGCGAAAGCUAGGGGAGCGAACGGGAUUAGAUACCCCGGUAGUCCUAGCCUUAAACGAUGAAUGCUUGGUGUCUGGGGUUAUAAAGUCCCCGGGUGCCGUCGCUAACGCUUUAAGCAUUCCGCCUGGGGAGUACGGUCGCAAGACUGAAACUCAAAGG